rnacentral:rRNA from 1 species
CUUCCCAUGGACGCAGUCUGAUGUGAGCACGCGCGCGUGUAUGAAGAAGGUCUUCGGAUCGUAAAAUACUAGUUGUCAGAGAAGAACACGGGAUAAAGUAACUGUUGUCCCGCUGACGGUAUCUGACCAGCAAGUCACGGCUAACUACGUGCCAGCAGCCGCGGUAAUAUAA